CAAGACGUAGCUAUAAGCCCAAAGCAUUCAGCUUACGCCUGAAAGAUGUCUAUCCUUCUAAGACCGUCUUGA